UACAGGGGGUGCAAACGUUGCUCGGAAUCAUUGGGCGUAAAGAGCUCGUAGGCGGUUUGUCGCGUCUGCUGUGAAAACCCGAGGCUCAACCUCGGGCCUGCAGUGGGUACGGGCAGACUAGAGUGCGGUAGGGGAGAUUGGAAUUCCUGGUGUAGCGGUGGAAUGCGCAGAUAUCAGGAGGAACACCAAUGGCGAAGGCAGAUCUCUGGGCCGUAACUGACGCUGAGGAGCGAAAGCAUGGGGAGCGAACAGG
rnacentral:rRNA from 1 species